rnacentral:lncRNA from 1 species
GAAGGAGGAAGAGGACAUUUCUGAGUGCCUCUGAUUCACAGGAAUAGCUUAUUUAUGUUGGUUGUAAUUAUGUCAUUCCAGGUGAUGAAUAAGAGAGAAAGAAAGAAAAGGCAGGACCAGAAGAGCCACAAACAAUAUUUCAGGACAGAUAUAAUGAGCUUGCCAUUCGUUAUCUCACUUCUUCUGAGCCUGUCAGAUGCUGGGAGUCUAAUUUGGGGCACCAAUUAUCACUUUGGAAGUGACAGUAGCCGGAGGCACC